CAGUCGCCACGGUAAUACGGAGGGGGCUAGCGUUGUUCGGAAUUACUGGGCGUAAAGCGUACGUAGGCGGCUUUGUAAGUUAGAGGUGAAAGCCUGGUGCUCAACACCAGAACUGCCUUUAAGACUGCAUCGCUUGAACGUCGGAGAGGUGAGUGGAAUUCCGAGUGUAGAGGUGAAAUUCGUAGAUAUUCGGAAGAACACCAGUGGCGAAGGCGGCUCACUGGACGACUGUUGACGCUGAGGUACGAAAGCGUGGGGAGCAAACAGGAUUAGAUACCCCAGUAGUCCAUGUCUCUUAUAC
rnacentral:rRNA from 1 species